GAUGAAGAACGUAGCGAAAUGCGAUACUUGGUGUGAAUUGCAGAAUCCCGUGAACCAUCGAGUCUUUGAACGCAAGUUGCGCCUCAAGCCAUUAGGUUGAGGGCACGUCUGCCUGGGCGUCACAUAUCGUUGCCUGAUGCCAGUUUCCUCGUGAUGGGUGACUGUGCAGGGCGAAUGAUGGCUUCCCGUGAGCAUUGUUGCCUCAUGGUUGGUUGAAAAUUGAGUCCUUGGUAGGGAGCGCCGUGAUAGAUGGUGGUUGAGUGACGAACGAGACCCAAUCAUGUGAGACCCCUACCGAAUUUGGCCUUCAUGACCCACAUGCGUCGUUGGAACGCUCAUGACGAGACCUCAGGUCAGGCGGGGCUACCCGCUGAGUUUAAGCAUAUCAAUAAGCGGAGGA
rnacentral:misc_RNA from 1 species